rnacentral:rRNA from 1 species
GACAAGAAAUAACAAUACGAGGCUUAAAGUCUUGUAAUUGGAAUGACGGAAAUUUAAGCUCUUUCCGGAGUAUCAAUUGGAGGGCAAGUCUGGUGCCAGCAGCCGCGGUAAUUCCAGCUCCAAUAGCGUAUAUUAAACUUGUUGCAGUUAAAAAGCUCGUAGUUGAAUUUCUGCUGCAUCAUUUAUAUUCCUUAAUCGGUUUAUUUAUGUUGUGGCUUUUUCUGGUGAUUAUAUUUCGGUAUGAUUAUCCAGAUUGUUACUUUGAGAAAAUUAGAGUGCUUAAAGCAGGCUUUUGCCUUGAAUACUUUAGCAUGGAAUAACUAAGUAGGA